GGUCAGGGGAGGGAAAUGACUUCAGUGGAGCCAGCUCAGGGGCCGGUGACCUUUGAGGAGGUGGCUGUGUAUUUCACCAGGGAAGAGGAGGCUCUGCUGGACCCCGCUCAGAGGGCCCUCUACAGAGACAUGAUGCAGGAGAACUAAGAGAAUGUGACCUCCCUGGGGUUUCCAGUUUCCAAACCUCAUAUAAUCUCCCAGCUGGAACAAGGGGAAGAGCCAUGGGUCCCAGAUAUCCGGGGUUCAGAGGGAAGAGAGAUCCAGC